GACGAACCGUGCAAACGUUAUUCGGAAUCACUGGGCUUAAAGGGCGCGUAGGCGGGCCGCCAGGUCCGGGGUGAAAGCCUCCAGCUCAACUGGAGAAGUGCCUUGGAUACCGGCGGCCUCGAGGGAGGCAGGGGCGUGCGGAACUUCGGGUGGAGCGGUGAAAUGCGUAGAUAUCCGAAGGAACACCGGUGGCGAAGGCGGCCUGCUGGGCAGUAGCUGACACUGAGGCGACAGCGUGGGGAGCAAACAGG
rnacentral:rRNA from 1 species